rnacentral:rRNA from 1 species
AGGACGAACGCUGGCGGCGUGCUUAACACAUGCAAGUCGAGCGAGGCCCCUCCUUCGGGAGGGUGUCCUAGCGGCGAACGGGUGAGUAACACGUGGGCAACCUGCCCUCAGCUCUGGGAUAACCCCGGGAAACCGGGGCUAAUACCGGAUACGACCUCCUUAGGCAUCUGAGGUGGUGAAAAGUUUUUCGGCUGAGGAUGGGCCCGCGGCCUAUCAGCUUGUUGGUGGGGUGAUGGCCUACCAAGGCGACGACGGGUAGCCGGCCUGAGAGGGUGACCGGCCACACUGGGACUGAGACACGGCCCAGACUCCUACGGGAGGCAGCAGUGGGGAAUAUUGCGCAAUGGGCGAAAGCCUGACGCAGCGACGCCGCGUGAGGGACGAAGGCCUUCGGGUUGUAAACCUCUUUCAGCAGGGACGAAGCGAAAGUGACGGUACCUGCAGAAGAAGCGCCGGCUAACUACGCGCCAGCAGCCGC